CAGAGAGAUAAGAAGCCCAUGGCUGGAGGGAACCGGUCUCUUCUUUUCAUUGUCUCCUAUCAUCUAGUCCUGUGCCUGGCACAGGCAUUUGCUUUGCACCUGUCAGAUGAUUGAAUGCAUGCACAAAAAUGGCAAGGAAUACAGAUACGUGAAAAUCCUUUCAAUGUUAAAAAUCAUCAAACACGGAUCACAGGAACUGAGGAAUGGGAGCUGUUGAAAGAGUUGCCAUUAACAUUAAAUCAGCCUAUGAGGAGGCCCAGAUGGCAAGAAACUAAAGUCUCUGGCCAACAGACAGUGAGGAGGUGAAGUCUGCCAAUAACCAUGAAAGUGAACUUGCAACUAGAUCCUUCGACCUGGUCAAGUCUUGAGAUGACUACAGCACCAGCUGGCAUCUUGACUGUAACUCUAGAGAGACCCUGAGCCAGAAACAAUCAGGGAAGUCUCCUGAAUGAGUUUAAGAUUUAAAAGAAAAAGAAAACAAGGAAAACAAAGGGAAGCCAACAAAUCUGUUAAAGGCAAGAACAGUAACAACGAUAUGGCCAAAACAAGCACUCAUGAUUAAUACAGGUGAGUCAAAUGCUCGGUUAUUUCCCUCCUGAUUGCUAGAAUUAUCUCUGAAAAAAAAAAUCACUGAAUCUCCUCUUUGAAGAGUUUAUAGAUAAGUGAAACUAUUUCAUGGAAAUGCUAACCUUAACAUAAAAUGUGGUCUCUUUCACUUCAAAAAACAAAAACAAAGCAAAGGUAAAAUAAGACAAAACAGCUCAGUUUAAUUUCAAACGUUAAUAUAUUUUCUAUUUUAUAUUGAACAUAUGCAUCUGUAACCCCUCAUUUGCAGCAACUAUCACAUCCUCAUAAAAGGGGCAAAAUUUGUAAGAU